rfam:Triticum aestivum genome assembly, contig: Triticum_aestivum_CS42_TGACv1_scaffold_344490_4DL
UCCACUAUUCAGUUGGUAGAGUACAAAGCUUUUAACCUUAUGGACGUGGGUUCAAGCCCCAUGGUGGAG